GAGACAGUGUUUUGCCAGCAGCCUCCAAGAUCUUACUGCCAGCUCGGCUCAGGGCCUGGGCUUGUAUCUGUCUUAAGCCCAGCCCUCUUUCUGGGCCAGAU